UCGUGACAGCAGCGCGCAACGCACACAUGAUGGACAGCAGCCCCCGAGACAAAGCGGGAGGAGGUGUUGACAUUGAGACUGCUUGGUAAUAACGCUGCGAUGACGCAGCGGCCGUGUGGCCGGCUAUGCGUCAAACGGCAGCGCUGCGUCGACGCAACGCUGACCCAACGCCCGUGUGGAUAGGCUCUAAUGUAGUAAGUAAAGGCCAAAACUAGCUACUAAGUU